rnacentral:tRNA from 1 species
GCCGCUUUAACUCAGCUGGUAGAGUGCGUCAUUCGUAAUGACGAAGUCAGGUGUUCGAAUCACCUAAGCGGCACCA